GAUGAACGCUGGCGGCGUGCCUAACACAUGCAAGUCGAACGGACUUACAUUGAAGCCUAGCGAUAUGUAAGUUAGUGGCGGACGGGUGAGUAACGCGUGGGUAACCUGCCUUGUACUGGGGGACAACAGUUGGAAACGACUGCUAAUACCGCAUAAGCGCACAGCUUCGCAUGAAGCAGUGUGAAAAACUCCGGUGGUACAAGAUGGACCCGCGUCUGAUUAGCUGGUUGGUGAGGUAACGGCCCACCAAAGCGACGAUCAGUAGCCGGCCUGAGAGGGUGAACGGCCACAUUGGGACUGAGACACGGCCCAAACUCCUACGGGAGGCAGCAGUGGGGAAUAUUGCACAAUGGGGGAAACCCUGAUGCAGCAACGCCGCGUGAGUGAAGAAGUAUUUCGGUAUGUAAAGCUCUAUCAGCAGGAAAGAAAAUGACGGUACCUGACUAAGAAGCCCGGGCUAACUACGUGCCAGCAGCCGCGGUAAUACGUAGGGGGCAAGCGUUAUCCGGAUUUACUGGGUGUAAAGGGAGCGUAGACGGUUUUGCAAGUCUGAAGUGAAAGCCCGGGGCUUAACCCCGGGACUGCUUUGGAAACUGUAGAACUAGAGUGCAGGAGAGGUAAGUGGAAUUCCUAGUGUAGCGGUGAAAUGCGUAGAUAUUAGGAGGAACACCAGUGGCGAAGGCGGCUUACUGGACUGUAACUGACGUUGAGGCUCGAAAGCGUGGGGAGCAAACAGGAUUAGAUACCCUGGUAGUCCACGCCGUAAACG
rnacentral:rRNA from 1 species